GUCGUUAUCGGAAUUUAAGAUACCAUAACAAAGUUUUAACAUAAGAAUACCCUCCCCUAAAUCAUUUAACCAAAACAGAAAACAACAUUUUCUUUAAAUAUUUAUAUAUUUAUAAAGUGGAUAUUGACAAAAUGGUCCUGUUAAUUCCUUUGGUUUCCUCUUAUAGAUGAUAUGUUUCCCUCGGUUUUAGUUUGUAAUCCGGAAAUGUUUUCUCUUAAUCGAUGCAUGACUUUUGAACACCGGUAGCAUUUAUUGUAUUCCCUCCCUCAAAUAUAGAGUUGUAUAACGAAGCACCAAAUAAAUUUAUCAGACUAUUCAUCAACAAAACGGUUAACUGGUAUUAUAAGAUAUAUAUACAAAGCCUACAGUUCGAAUGUGUGGCUGUUCAUAAUCAAUGAGGGUGGAUGGGGUUUAAAGAAUAAAGAAUAAUUGUCAAAGUAUGAAUAAUAAAGCUCUAACAAUCACGAAUGAAGAAAAACAGUAAAAAAAAUUGAAUAAAGAUUAAUGGGUGUUACAAUACAUGGAAUAGAGAAUACAAGUAAAAAAUCAUAAAGAAUAGAGAAAGUGGCAUAAAAAAACAAAAAAUACUGAAAUUAAAAUCCCCCUUCCAGCCCUCUUCAUCGUUUAUACUUUCGAAAUACUGUGUGAAUUUCUAAUAACCAUCUGGCUGACCUGUUUAUUCACAAAACAUUCACCUUUACUGUAGCACCUUCAGUUUAUGGAUUAUAAAAUAUAUAUAAAAAGGUUCACAAAUAAUAAUUGGAGUUCAAUGACAGUUGUAUAAAAAAUAUAUAAGGCAUAUUUAUCUGACCGGGUAGAAAUUUUGUGCACUUUUACCAAAAAAUACUCGAAACAGUUGUUUAAGUUUCUUUCGUGAUAUUUACUAUUUGUCAAAAGGUCCUUUCUGGCUUGUAGUCAAAAUAUAACAUACAUGUUUAAACAAAAAUGGAAUUGAUAGCACACAAUAACAUAAAUUCGUCUGCGGCGAAUAGAAUAUCAUUGAUGCCUUAUGUUUAUAAUAUCAUAAGUUAUCUAUACAUUGGAAAUAUGAUUCAAGCUACAGGCAGCACAUUGCGAUCUAAAGUUUCAUUGCAAGUUUAUUACUAAGAAGGUUUUAGAUAUCAACAUG
rnacentral:lncRNA from 1 species